rnacentral:rRNA from 1 species
AAUAUUGCACAAUGGUGGAAACUCUGAUGCAGCGACGCCGCGUUAUCGAUUAAUGCUUUCGAUUCGUAAAGCUCUUCUCUAGGGGACGAUAAUAACGGUACCCCAGGAGGCAGCCCCGGCUAACUACGUUCCAUCAGCCGCGGUAAUACGUAGGGGGCGACCGUUGUCCGGAAUUAUUGGGCGUAAAGGGUUCGCAGGCGGCCUUUUAAGUCAGAUGUGAAAGCCCACGGCUUAACCGUGGUAAGCAUUUGAAACUGGAAGGCUUGAGUUAAGGAGAGGAAAGUGGAAUUCCUAGUGUAGCGGUGAAAUGCGUAGAUAUUAGGAGGAAUACCAGCGGCGAAGGCGACUUUCUGGACUUAUACUGACGCUGAGGAACGAAAGCGUGGGGAGCAAACA